AAAGCUUGUUUGGAGAGAAAGAAGGAAAGACUUUCCUAAUGAGAGUCUUGAUUCUCUGCUUCAGAAUCAUUUCUUCAUCCAGCUGAGCCCUGACUUCUGACAGGCACCUUUCUGUGCCCCUCAGAGAUGGUAGAAAAGCAGAGCUUCAUUCCAGUGAGAAAGAUACUAAAGAAAUGAACAGCUAACAAAUAAACCAGAUAUUGUAACGAGUCUUCAGGAACAGAAUGGACUCCCACCCAAAAAUUGGCUCAAAUGUUGAAAGUGAUGAUGCCACACAGACACCAACAAGACUCCGCGAUGUUAAUGUGUCCGGCCUAGAUUGUCCUCUGGGGGAAGCCUAACCUCACACCCUACCUGCCCCUGUGCAAGCUGUGUGAACUGUAACGCCUUCACGCAUUUAUUUAUCUCUGCGUAUCCUCCCCACCUGACAUCUUGUGUGGAGAGAGACAGACUCCGUAUCAGUGAAGCAACUUACGCAUUCAAUUCUUAGCCCUCAUGCCAGCAGCAGGACCUGGCGUUUCGUGCUCAGCAAUCUUCAGUGGACAGGUGGAUGAUUAGAUGAAAGAAUAAUCUCGGCAUGGUUGUGUGGUUUCCUAGGUGCCUGAAGAGAGACACGCCUUGGUUUAUGUCUGCUCAUGGGGAGCUUUCACAGCGUUAUGCUUCAAGACAACUGAUAGUUCACUAGAUAAUGAUAAUCAAAGCAAGUAAUUAUACCUCACUUACGGUGUGCCAGGUGCUGUUUUAAAUACCUUAUACAUCAUAACUCAUUAAUCCUUAAAACAGCCCCAUGUGAAAGAUACUUUUAUCAUACCUAUAUUACAAAUGAGGUGAUUGAGGCACAGAGGGGUCAGGUUCCUGGUCCAGGCUGACAGAACCAAGAGGGAUGGGCUGGCAUUUGAGCCCAGACAGACUGGCCCUCGGAAACCUUUUCUCUGCGCUGCGCCGCACUGCCGGCUCU
rnacentral:lncRNA from 1 species